GAUGAACGCUGCGGCAUGCCUAACACAUGCAAGUCGAACGGACUUAUUUUUGAAGCCUAGCGAUAAAUAAGUUAGUGGCGGACGGGUGAGUAACGCGUGGGUAACCUGCCUCACACUGGGGGAUAACAGUUAGAAAUGACUGCUAAUACCGCAUAAGUGCACAGGACCGCAUGGUCUAGUGUAAAAAACUCCGGUGGUGUGAGAUGGACCCGCGUCUGAUUAGCUAGUUGGUGAGGUUAAACGGGCCCACCAAGGCGACGAUCAGUAGCCGGCCUGAGAGGGUGAACGGCCACAUUGGGACUGAGACACGGCCCAAACUCCUACGGGAGGCAGCAGUGGGGAAUAUUGGGCAAUGGGCGCAAGCCUGACCCAGCAAUGCCGCGUGAAGGAAGAAGGCUUUCGGGUUGUAAACUUCUUUUGUCAGGGACGAGUAGAAGACGGUACCUGACGAAUAAGCCACGGCUAACUACGUG
rnacentral:rRNA from 1 species